rnacentral:rRNA from 1 species
AAGACCUUGCGCUUUUGGAGCGGCCGAUGCCUGAUUAGCUUGUUGGUAAGGUAAAAGCUUACCAAGGCUUCGAUCAGUAGCUGGUCUGAGAGGACGGCCAGCCACACUGGGACUGAGACACAGCCCAGACUCCUACGGGAGGCAGCAGUGGGGAAUUUUGGACAAUGGGGGCAACCCUGAUCCAGCCAUGCCGCGUGAGUGAAGAAGGCCUUCGGGUUGUAAAGCUCUUUCAGCCGGAACGAAACGGUUACGGUUAAUACCCGUGAUUACUGACGGUACCGGAAGAAGAAGCACCGGCUAACUACGUGCCAGCAGCCGCGGUAAUACGUAGGGUGCGAGCGUUAAUCGGAAUUACUGGGCGUAAAGCGUGCGCAGGUGGUUUUGUAAGUCAGAUGUGAAAUCCCCGGGCUCAACCUGGGAACU